rnacentral:snoRNA from 2 species
UUGCUGUGAUGAUACUGUCAAUGUGGUUUCUACUGGCUGACAGUUGAAUGAGGACAUGAGAUUCCUUGGCUGUGUCUGAGCAC